AUCCCUGUAGCUCAGUUGGUAGAGCAUGGUGUUUGCAACGCCAGGGUUGUGGGUUCAAUUCCCACGGGGGCCA
rnacentral:tRNA from 1 species